rnacentral:lncRNA from 1 species
GGACUUUGGUGGGAGGGCCUAAGGGCGACUUCCUCCUCUCUCGGCCCCGCCUGCUGGCGCGGGAUCUCGGCCAAGUGGGCGGUUCUCGCGAGCCCCCGUCCGCAGGUGCCGCGAGACUCCUCUGUGUGCUGGCUGCAGCAGCUGAGGGGUGGCUCCGGCUUCGUGAGUUGUCUGGCGGCGCUCGGCGUGCGAUGACGGGUGAGACCCAGCUCUGAGGAAAAAGCAAAGCCACCCUGGGAGAGUGCCCUGGACAUUCAGAAGUUACAAAAAGUGGAAAGAGCCCUGGGAAUGCCUAUGUUCCAGUUGGUUGAGAUUGCCUUUAAAGUUUUCAAUGGCAGGGCCAUGCCCAGGAAAGCAAAGAACAAUGGAAGAUGAAGCAACAUGCCACCCUGCUUCUUUGUCCCAAGGACCACCUUGAGCACUACCACAAAGAAGAACCUAACCUAAGGUAGGCCUCCCUGGACCCCAAACCCCAAGCUGCAAGCGACACCCUAUGGUGGGACCCCAUCAGUGCACCUUCUGUAAACAAGGGACCAUUGGAAAAAAGAAUGCCCCAGUUGAAAUAAGACUCUUCAAGAAGAGGGACAACAGGCAGCACACCAAAUGCCUGAGAUCACCACUUGUGAUUAAGAAUGACAAGGCCCAGGGCCUCCUCCCAGUUUCACUUGACAGAUUUCCCACACAGAGCCCCGGAUAACCAGGAUGGUAGGAAAUAGACUUUUGGACUUUUAUGGGGGCUGCUUACUCAGUUUUGAACGUUUGGUUUUCCAGCCUCUGAAAAGACAAUGCUAGUGACAAGAGUCUCAGGAGAAAGCUUAAGUAAGUCAUUUCUCCAACCCCUGGACUGUCAAAUGAGAAAAAUGUACUUAAAGCAUAGAGCCUUGUACAUGCCUGAGUGUCCUGUUCCAUUAUCGGGAUAUUUACUGACCAAACUGAAUGCCGAAGUGACCUUUGCACCUGGAAGAAUGGACAUUAGGGUACCACCUGAACAGGCUGUGUCCUCCAGGCAGCAUUACUGCAACAAGCUAGGGAGCCUCCAAUAGAAAUUCUAGAAGUCUUACAAGAGGUAAGCCGGGAUGUAUGGGUGGAUAGGA